GACAGCUUGGCCGAGUGGUUAAGGCGAUGGACUUGAAAUCCAUUGGGGUAACCUGCGUGAGUUCAAAUCUCACAGCUGUCG
rnacentral:tRNA from 1 species